UACGUAGGGGGCAAGCGUUGUCCGGAAUUAUUGGGCGUAAAGAGCGUGUAGGCGGCCAGAUAAGUCCGCUGUGAAAUCUCGAGGCUCAACUUCGAGCUGUCGGUGGAAACUAUCUGGCUAGAGUCCGGAAGAGGAGAAUGGAAUUCCUGGUGUAGCGGUGAAAUGCGCAGAUAUCAGGAAGAACAUCCGUGGCGAAGGCGGUUCUCUGGGACGGUACUGACGCUGAGACGCGAAAGCGUGGGGAGCGAACAGG
rnacentral:rRNA from 1 species